rnacentral:rRNA from 1 species
AGAGUUUGAUCAUGGCUCAGAGUGAACGCUGGCGGCAGGCCUAAUACAUGCAAGUCGAACGGCAGCACAGCAGAGCUUGCUCUGUGGGUGGCGAGUGGCGGACGGGUGAGGAAUACAUGGGAAUCUGCCCAGUCGUGGGGGAUAACGUAGGGAAACUUACGCUAAUACCGCAUGCGCCCUUCGGGGGAAAGCCGGGGACCGUAAGGCCUGGGCGCGAUUGGAUGAGCCCAUGUCGGAUUAGCUAGUUGGCGGGGUAAAGGCCCACCAAGGCGACGAUCCGUAGCUGGUCUGAGAGGAUGAUCAGCCACACUGGAACUGAGACACGGUCCAGACUCCUACGGGAGGCAGCAGUAGGGAAUAUUGGACAAUGGGCGCAAGCCUGAUCCAGCCAUGCCGCGUGAGUGAAGAAGGCCCUCGGGUUGUAAAGCUCUUUUGUCCGGAAAGAAAAGCGCCGGGUUAAUACCCUGGUGUCCUGACGGUACCGGAAGAAUAAGCACCGGCUAACUUCGUG